UCGAGAGACGGGGAGAGCGUGGAGGGAAGACGGAAGGUGCAGGCUGUAAUCGUGAGGACUGGUCGGAAAGGAUGUGCGGGCGGAUAUGUAGGACAGGUGUGAAAUGCCCUGGCUUAACCUGGGAAUUGCAUGUGGGACUGCAGCGCUGGAGUGCGGCAGAGGGGGAUGGAAUUCCGCGUGUAGCAGUGAAAUGCGUAGAUAUGCGGAGGAACACCGAUGGCGAAGGCAAUCCCCUGGGCCUGCACUGACGCUCAUGCACGAAAGCGUGGGGAGCAAACAGGAUUAGAUACCCGGGUAGUC
rnacentral:rRNA from 1 species